UACGAGAGGCCCAAACGUUAUUCGGAUUUACUGGGCUUAAAGAGUUCGUAGGCGGUCUAGCAAGUGAGGUGUGAAGGCCCUCGGCUCAACCGAGGAAUUGCGCUUCAAACUGCUAGGCUCGAGGGAGAUAGAGGUGAGCGGAACUGAUGGUGGAGCGGUGAAAUGCGUUGAUAUCAUCAGGAACACCAGAGGCGAAGGCGGCUCACUGGGUCUUUUCUGACGCUGAGGAACGAAAGCUAGGGGAGCAAACGGG
rnacentral:rRNA from 1 species